CAAUUCCCACUCCUUUUGAAGCAGAUAAUUAGCAGAGACAUCCUGAUUUAAUUCAUUUCCGAAUGAGUUCCUGGAAAAUCCUGAAUGUUUUGAAAGAAAGUCGCAGAAAAUAGAGGACAACUCUGAACCCCUCAUGUCUCCAAACCAACUGUUUCCUCCUUCUCUCCUACUCAUUUCAUAUUUCCCACAUGAGAGAUGGAAACUCUACAAGUUUCCUUCUAGCUUAGAAGACACCACCCUUGUUGUAAUGUGCUAUAUUGGUGACUGGGUAGUUCUGGGGGCUUAUGAGGAGAUAUAAAAUCACAGUGAACCCAAGUGACCAUUUCGAAUCUAACCCAACCUUCUUCUGUGUGCUGUUUCCCAUACAUGCCGAGCCCACAGAGUGCCUCCCCAGACUGUUACUUACUCCUUGAGAAGCACACAUCUG